rnacentral:rRNA from 1 species
UCUACGGGAGGCAGCAGUGGGGGAUAUUGCACAAUGGGGGAAACCCUGAUGCAGCGACGCCGCGUGGGUGAAGAAGCGCCUCGGCGCGUAAAGCCCUGUCAGCAGGGAAGAAAAUGACAGUACCUGAAGAAGAAGCCCCGGCUAACUACGUGCCAGCAGCCGCGGUAAUACGUAGGGGGCAAGCGUUAUCCGGAUUUACUGGGUGGAAAGGGGGCGUAGACGGCCAUGCAAGCCAGGGGUGAAAGCCCGGGGCCCAACCCCGGGACUGCCCUUGGAACUGCAUGGCGGGAGUGCGGGAGGGGCAGGCGGAAGUCCUGGUGUAGCGGUGAAAUGCGUAGAUAUCAGGAGGAACACCGGCGGCGAAGGCGGCCUGCUGGACCGCGACUGACGUUGAGGCUCGAAAGCGUGGGGAGCGAACAGGAUUAGAUACCCUUGUAGUC